GAUGAAGAACGUAGUGAAAUGCGAUAAGUAAUGUGAAUUGCAGAAUUCAGUGAAUCAUCGAAUCUUUGAACGCACAUUGCGCCCCUUGGUAUUCCAUGGGGCAUGCCUGUUCGAGCGUCAUUUGUACCUUCAAGCUUUGCUUGGUGUUGGGUGUUUGUCCUGAGGGACUCGCCUUAAAGUGAUUGGCAGCCAGUGUUUGGUUUUGAAGCGCAGCACAAGUCGCGAUUCAAAGCUAUACGCCCGCUUCCACAAGCCUUUUUCACUUUUGACCUCGGAUCAGGUAGGGAUACCCGCUGAACUUAAGCAUCUCAAUAAGCGGAGGA
rnacentral:misc_RNA from 1 species